UAAUAGAUAUAAGAAAAAGGGCUCUGCGCGAACAGAACCCUCGACAAGCCGUUCAAGACGGUGGCUUAUUAGUAGUUAAAAAUAA
rnacentral:sRNA from 1 species